rnacentral:rRNA from 1 species
GAUGAACGCUGGCGGCGUGCCUAACACAUGCAAGUCGAGCGAACGCACGAUAAGCUUGUUUCUCUGAUGUUAGCGGCGGACGGGCGAGUAACACGUGGAUAACCUACCUAUAAGACUGGGAUAACUUCGGGAAACCGGAGCUAAUACCGGAUAAUAUUUUGAACCGCAUGGUUCAAAAGUGAAAGACGGUCUUGCUGUCACUUAUAGAUGGAUCCGCGCUGCAUUAGCUAGUUGGUAAGGUAACGGCUUACCAAGGCAACGAUGCAUAGCCGACCUGAGAGGAUGAUCAGCCACACUGGAACUGAGACACGGUCCAGACUAAUACGGGAGGCAGCAGUGGGGAAUCUUCCGCAAGGGGCGGAAGCCUGACGUAGCAACGCCGCGUGGGGGAUGAAGGUCUUCGGAUCGUAAAUCUCUGUUGUUAGGAAAGAACAUAAGUGUGAGUAUCUGGGCACAUCUUGACGGUACCUAAUGAAUAAGCCCCGGCUAACUACGUG